rnacentral:tRNA from 1 species
GUGCUCGUAGCUCAGUUGGAUAGAGCAACGGAUUUCUAAUCCGUAGGUCGCAGGUUCGAGCCCCGCCGGGCACACCA